AUUGAACGCUGGCGACAUGCCUUACACAUGCAAGUCGAACGGCAGCACGGGUGCUUGCACCUGGUGGCGAGUGGCGAACGGGUGAGUAAUACAUCGGAACAUGUCCUGUAGUGGGGGAUAGCCCGGCGAAAGCCGGAUUGAUACCGCAUACGAUCUACGGAUGAAAGCGGGGGACCUUCGGGCCUCGCGCUAUAGGGUUGGCCGAUGGCUGAUUAGCUAGUUGGUGGGGUAAAGGCCUACCAAGGCGACGAUCAGUAGCUGGUCUGAGAGGACGACCAGUCACACUGGGACUGAGACACGGCCCAGACUCCUACGGGAGGCAGCAGUGGGGAAUUUUGGACAAUGGGCGAAAGCCUGAUCCAGCAAUGCCGCGUGUGUGAAGAAGGCCUUCGGGUUGUAAAGCACUUUUGUCCGGAAAGAAAUCCUUGGCCCUAAUACGGUCGGGGGAUGACGGUACCGGAAGAAUAAGCACCGGCUAACUACGUG
rnacentral:rRNA from 1 species